rnacentral:tRNA from 1 species
AUUUAAUUAGUUUAUUGAAAACAUUAUAUUUUCAAUAUAAAAAUAAAUAAAUUUAAUUUAUUAAAUA